rnacentral:rRNA from 1 species
AACGCACCUUGCGCCUUUUGGUAUUCCGAAAGGCAUGCCUGUUUGAGUGUCAUUUAACAUAAAUCAACCUGCCCCUAGGGGUUCGGCUUGGAAUUGGAGGCCUGUGCUGGCGUCUCGUGCGUCGGCUCCUCUCAAAUGCAUUAGCGGGACUGUGUGGACCGGCUCUGGCUUGAUAGGACUAUCAUGUGUGCCAUUGCUGGGGACUGGACCUGCUUCGAACUGUCCCUCCGAGAGGGACUCUGCCUCGGCAGAACACCUUUGACCUUGACCUCAAAUCAGGUAGGACUACCCGCUGAACUUAA